rnacentral:rRNA from 1 species
CCGACGGUGAGGGACGAAAGCUGGGGGCACGAACCGGAUUAGAUACCCGGGUAGUCCCAGCCGUAAACGAUGCUCGCUAGGUGUCAGGCAUGGCGCGACCGUGUCUGGUGCCGCAGGGAAGCCGUGAAGCGAGCCACCUGGGAAGUACGGCCGCAGGGCUGAAACUUAAAGGAAUUGGCGGGGGAGCACAACAACGGGUGGAGCCUGCGGUUUAAUUGGACUCAACGCCGGACAACUCACCGGGGGCGACAGCAAUAUGUAGGCCAAGCUGAAGACUUUGCCUGAAUCGCUGAGAGGAGGUGCAUGGCCGUCGCCAGUUCGUACUGUGAAGCAUCCUGUUAAGUC